rnacentral:tRNA from 3 species
GCGGGUGUCGUAUAGCGGCUAUUAUAUUACCUUGCCAUGGUAAAGAUGAGGGUUCGACUCCCUUCACCCGCUCAA